rnacentral:lncRNA from 1 species
AGCAUCUCUAGGCGAUCAUAAAUAAAGAAAAAUAAAAUGGGAGCAGAGCAAAAGAAGAGGCGCUCAGUAGGAAACUUCAACGCUAUAGUUUAUAUGCCUUUCCAGUAUCUCUUGCUUCCAACGUUUACUCUGGCAACUGACCUUGUUCAGUGGGGUAUCUAUGGAUUGGGGCAUGAUGAAGCAUAUUGUGAUAUACAAAGCAUAAUAUUAUAGCAAUACAAAGAAUGGAAAAAAUGAAGAAUUCAGAGAAGCAUGAAAUAAUUUAUAUGAAUUCACUUAAAGCAAGAAAAGAGGACAGAAAUAACAUGUAUGUUGACAUUAGCAUAUAACUGAAGAAAACACAAGAAGCCAGCAAAAACCAGAUCAAAUGAGAUUGUCAAUGCUGAUUCCAGUUAUUGGAACAACUCCUUCUCCUCACUGAAGAAGAAAUGAACUACAGGUAAAGAAUAUCACACUCACUAUUAAUUGUAGAUUCUAUAAUGAGGUUUUAUUUAAUAGUUUUUUUUGGACAAGGUCAUUGAGAUUUUCCAUUCAAGGGAUAUAUUGAUAAAUGUCUGACAGAUGGCUCUCCAAAAAACAAAAUUGCUAAC